UGGUACACGUUCGGUGGAGGAACCAGACUGGAUGUUGGAAGUGAUGUCCGUCCCACCCUGACGGUGCUGCCCCCCUCCAGCCAGGAGCUGCAGCAGGGGAAGGCCACGCUCACGUGUUUGGCCAACAAGGGCUUCCCCUCAGACUGGAGUCUGGCCUGGAAGGUGGACGGCAGCAGCAGCAGCAGCAGCAGCUGGGAGCAGAGCAGGAGCCCCGGGGUGCUGCAGCAGGACGGCCACUACAGCUGGAGCAGCACCCUGAGGCUCACUGCAGACCAGUGGAGGAAGGUGGGCUCUGUGACCUGUGAGGCCACCCAGGGCUCCCAGUCUCCACUCUCAGAGACACUGAGGAGAGACCAGUGUUCCCAGUCCUGACCUGACUCACUGGGACUCUGC